rnacentral:ncRNA from 2 species
GCCGGCCGGGGGACGGACUGGGA